UGAGCUCUAGCGAUCCUCCCGCCUCUGCCUCCCAAACUGUUGGGAUUACAGGCGUGAGCCACUGCGCCUGGCCUAUUUCUUUCCCUUUUUGUCUCCUUUCAAUUUUUUUUUUUAAACAAAAAGAGCAGUCUCUUUGAUCCAGAGCUUCACUGGAGGGUGAGGCUGUGGAUCCCAGGGUCCUGCGAGUGAGCGACUCAUUAUAUUCUACGCCUGGGCACCUCCCUCUCCCUACCCUAGUCCCGGCUCUUGAGGCUUCAACCAGGCGACAGCAGGAAGCAAGUUUAAUUUCACCCCCACCCCUACAAAUAUAGGAAAAGCAAGUUGAUUGAAGGAAAAAUCUGUGGUCCGGGGAGAUGUUCCAAAUCCUGGAGGUGGAGAGGAAUGAAUGACGUUUGUGGCUUGCAGAUCAACUCCCCGCAGCGGGCGUGACGUUGUCACAGCCAAAAUUGUCCUCCACGCGCUGCUACGACAUACAGCUGCCCUCUGGACCUCACCCAGGGACACUGCUAUGAUCACUGAGCGAUUCACCAAUAUUCCAGCUCUUUCUCCCUCCAGGUACAAGAGACGAGAAGUCUUGCCAUGUUGCCCGGGUUGGUCUCCAACUCUUGGGCUCAAGACAUCCUCCUGCUUCAGGCUCCCUCAGUGCUGAGAUUUCAGCACACAGAGGAAAGGCCAUGUGAGGACACAGCAAGAAGGCGGCCAUCUGCAAGCCAAGAAGAGAGUCCUCACCAGGAACCAACUCUGCUGACACCUUGCUGUUGGACUUCCAGCCUCUAUAAAUGUUCACAAGCACACCACUGUUUACACCCAUCUAGAAGGCCCCUCCCAGCUGACAUCUUUCUGCCUACCUUUCAGGAAGACAGACGAAACUCUCUGCCUUCAGGUGGGGCAAGACUGCUGAUGGCUGGAACAGGAGCUUGGCACCUCCACCCUGACCCAGACACAAGCCUGUCUGUCCCACUCAAAUCGAGCUGGCCAGAGACUACAACUGUGUUGGUUCCCAAGACAUAGAAAAGCCAGAAGAGGUCGGGCGCAGUGGCUCACGCCUGUCAGCACUUUGGGAAGCCGAGGCAGGCAGAUUACCUAAGGUCAAGAGUUCAAGACCAAUCUGGCCAAUGUGGUGAAACCCCAUCUCUACUAAAAAUACAAAAAUUAGCUGGGUGUGGUGGUGCACCUACAGGCCCAGCUACUCGGGCGGCUGAGGCAGGAGAAUCGCUGGAAUCCAGGAGGCAGAGGUUGCAGUGAGCCGGUAUCACGCCACUGCACUCCAGCCUGGGCGACAAGAGCUAAACUCCACCUCAAAAAACAACAACAACAACAAAACAAACAAACAGAAAACAAGCCAGAAGAGAUGGGGAGGAACUGGAGUGUGAUCUCCCAUUCCAUUAACCCAGAUCUGGGACUACCAGGUGGAACAUUCCAAACAUAUCAUUUUUUAUUUUCUCUCUCCCUCUCUCUUAAGGCACAUCUUCCAAUACUCUGCAGUCAUUAAGCAGAAUGAGGCAGGUCUGGAUGUGCUGAUUUGGGGAAGGUGUCCACAGUAUAUAAUUAACUGGAAAAAGCUAUCAUGGAACUGUGUGCCUGCAACGAUCCCUAUUUGUGAAAGUAAAAGGAGGAUAUUCGUAUCGACUCUGGUGUGCAAAUAGAAAAUGCCAGGGCGGAUACACCGGGCAGCUCUUAGCAGAGCUAUAUUAGGGGGAAGGGAGGAGCUGAGAGAGAGACUCCAUUCAAUAUGCUCCCCCUCCGAUAGGGUUUGAAUUCCUUGCGUUUUAUCAUGAGCAUGUAUUGCUUUUCUAAGAAAAGAAAUCCACCAGGUGCGGUGGCUCAUGUCUGUAAUCCCAACACUUUGGGAGGAUGAGGUGGGAGGAUUGAUUGCUUGAGGCCAGGAGGUGGAGGUUGCAGUGCGCUGUGAUUGCACCACUGCACUCCAGCAUGGGUGACAGAGGGAGAUCCUGUCUAAUUAAAAUUUAAAAAAAAAAUUAGAAAGAAAAUGAAGGCCAGGCAUGAGCCACCACUUUAGGAGGCCGAGGCAGGCAGAUCACCUGAGAUCAGGAGUUCGAGACCAGCCUGGCCAACAUGGUGAAACCCUGUCUCUACUAAAAAUACAAAAAUUAGUUGGGCAUGGUAGCGUGUGCCUUUAAUCCCAGCUACUUGGGAGGCUGAAGCAGGAGAAUUGCUUGAACCCACGAGGCAGAGGUUGCAGUGAGCCCAGAUCGCGCCAUUGCGCUCCAGCCUGGGUGACACAGCGAAAUUCCGUCUCAAAAAAAAAAAAAAAGGAAAAAAAGAAAAAGAGACACUGCCUCUAAAAAACAAAUAAGUCUCUCUCUGUCUCUCUCUUUGUGUGUUUCUCUCACGCCUGUGGAUUCUGUUUCUCUGGAGAACCCUGACUAACACAGCAGAACUUUACAAAUUGUCUCUCUAGUCUGCAGCUACCCAUUUUAUAGAUGAGAAAACUGAGGCCCAGGGAGGGGAAUGGCUGCUCA
rnacentral:lncRNA from 10 species